rnacentral:rRNA from 1 species
GUGUCAGCCGCCGCGGUAAUACGUAGGGGGCAAGCGUUGUCCGGAUUUAUUGGGCGUAAAGAGCGUGUAGGCGGCCAGGUAGGUCAGCUGUGAAAACUCGAGGCUUAACCUCGAGACGCCGGCUGAAACCCUCUGGCUAGAGUCCGGAAGAGGAGAGCGGAAUUCCUGGUGUAGCGGUGAAAUGCGCAGAUAUCAGGAAGAACACCCGUGGCGAAGGCGGCUCUCUGGGACGGUACUGACGCUGAGACGCGAAAGCGUGGGGAGCGAACAGGAUUAGAUACCCCGGUAGUCC